GCUGGGUGUGGUGGCAUGCACCUGCAGUCACAGCUACUUGGAGGCUGGGGUGAACUACCUGAGUCCAGGAUGCCAAACUUAGUGCACACACCUGAUUGGUUUGGCAUCAAUAUGGUGACCUCCUGGGUUGGGGAAAUCACCAGAUUUUCUAAGGAGAGGUGAACCAGUCAAUGUCAAAAAUGAAACAGGUAAAAACUCCUGUGCUGAUCAGGAGUGGGACUAGGCCUGUAAAUAGCCUCUGCAAUUCAGCCUGAGCAACAUAGCAAGACCCUUU
rnacentral:SRP_RNA from 1 species